AUUGAACGCUGGCGGCAUGCUUUACACAUGCAAGUCGAACGGCAGCACGGGCUUCGGCCUGGUGGCGAGUGGCGAACGGGUGAGUAAUAUAUCGGAACGUACCCAGAAGUGGGGGAUAACGUAGCGAAAGUUACGCUAAUACCGCAUACGAUCUAUGGAUGAAAGCAGGGGACCGCAAGGCCUUGUGCUCCUGGAGCGGCCGAUAUCUGAUUAGCUAGUUGGUGAGGUAAAGGCUCACCAAGGCGACGAUCAGUAGCUGGUCUGAGAGGACGACCAGCCACACUGGAACUGAGACACGGUCCAGACUCCUACGGGAGGCAGCAGUGGGGAAUUUUGGACAAUGGGCGCAAGCCUGAUCCAGCAAUGCCGCGUGAGUGAAGAAGGCCUUCGGGUUGUAAAGCUCUUUUGUCAGGGAUGAAACGGUAGAGGCUAAUAUCCUUUGCUAAUGACGGUACCUGAAGAAUAAGCACCGGCUAACUACGUG
rnacentral:rRNA from 1 species